UUUCAAAGUAUUUUGAAAGUGUGAAUCCCCCUUGUGGAAUUUGUACUGUAUUGGGGGAGGGGAGGGGGGGGAGUAUUUUCCAAAAAAUUCGCUUCCUACAAACUUGUGUAAACAAUAAGUUUGAUUGAACGGGAGAAAUUGCCAAGAGUGAAAAGUGGUGGAAGAAACAAGACCAAGGACAAGCUGAAACGUUGCUUCGGAAUUAAAAAAAAAAACAAGAAAAGGUUCCAAAAUUUAUAUUCCAAUGCUUGCGUUUUCCAUUAUCCGUGUUUUUAUUGACAUUAGGCAGGUCAACUAAUCACCUUCUCUUAACGGACAGACUGAAAAUUCAAAGCAAAUGUAGAGACGUUAUUCUAAACGAUGUCAUUCUUAAAUCGUCAAGAAAGGAAACGAGGGCGAUAUCGACCAAUGGUGAAUUUAUUUUUCGCUAUAGGAAAAGAAUUUACUCUUCGCGUUGGGACAACAAUGACAUUAUCGCCGCAGGACAAGAAUUACAUCUUCAGUUAAGAUUAUUCAUAAGUAAAUAUAUUUAGAUGUGCCGAUAUUUAAGUAUUUAGAGGAUAGACAUUAUCUUUACAUAAAUAGGUUGACAUAUUUUGUUA